UCAUCAUUUUAAUCUGUUCAACAAGUCAUUUUCAAACAAACUCAGAGAAAAUGGUACAAAACAUUCUAACCACCUUUAGCUUUAAUUAAAAUAGAGUUUAUUAUUAGCUUUUAUUUUUUUUAAUACAAACAUGAGAAAGGAAAACCACCUGAAGAUGUAGCAUUAUUUUCAAAAUUGAAUCGUGAUCAAUACCUGAAGUUCCAAGUUCCAUGAUUGCGGGCCCUGGAGCUGGUAGAUUUGCAAACUUUAAAAUACUUUACAUAUUUAAAUAGUUUGAAUGCUGCCAAACUGUUAUGCUCAGAAGUCCCUAAUCUCAAAGGCAUGGGGACUGAUAAUUUACAGGACCUUGGAUGGAAGCAGGGUUGAACAAAAUUUGUCCUAGGAACUAAUGUUAUUCAGUAUGGCACAAAGUGCCUAGAAUCUAUCUAGAACUGGGAGAAGGAGGUAUAUAAGGGCUAGUAACAGGAAAAGUCUAUUAAUACUUAUCCUGUUUAGAGUUUCAAAGUCUGAAAGGAAACUCCAUCCCAAAUUCUCAUUCUAGAGGAGUAAACUCUAUCUUCAGGAAAAGCAGAGUGGCACAAACUAUAAUGUUCCCUUCUCCAAAAAAAAUAUGUCUGUCAACUUAUACAUUUGGGAUUUGUUUUUUUAAGAACUCCUUUGAACGAAAUCUUAUGUGCUAAUUGGGAAUAAGUAUCUACCCCACUGGUGAGUCCAGGAUCCUCAAACUCACUACUGUCCCACCACAAAAAGUAAACCCCCCCGUCUGAAAGCAGGAAGUCUAGGGGAACCAAAACAGAUAUAAUAAUCUUAGCAUCAACUUUGUCAGAACUCCACUGCAUAAAGCACAACGGAUCUGUAGUGGAAGAAUUCAGAGAAGCAAUGCAGUAGGCUAUUCAUCACUGGAUUGCCACAUGGUUUGGGAUAGUGACAUUGUUUCCAAAACAGCUCUCAUUCAGUGCCUCAGAAAGAUAUACAGGAUACAUAUUUCCAAGGCAGUAGUAAAAGUAUUAGAAAGUGAGAAGCACCAUAGUUCACAAGAAAUGCAGCAUGGACCCUAUACAUUUGAACAAUCAAUACGUAACACCAUUUCUCUGCUUCCACCAAAACAUUCAAAAUCCUUUGACAGUCUCUACCGGAAUGACACUGCUGGUACACAGUUAUUAUAUCCUGCUCAAACAGCUCCUUGGUUUUGAACUCAUCACCAAUAAUAGCAGCUUUUGAAUAGCAAAAACCCUUUAACACUUAUCUAUGCUACUAUUUCAAGCUCCAGAGUGGCUUUAUACUUGGUUAGAGUCCUUUUUUCUUUUUCUUAACACUGCAUUCACUCAAAGGCAAAUGCAGCAAGAUUCUGGAUGAAGCGGAGAAGAGGGAAGAACACUAUCGUCAUGUGGUUAGUGUUUAAAUUCUAAAAUUUAAAACUACUCAUUAUUAAAAACCUCAUUGUUCACAGCUAUAGGCCUACACAGUAAGCAAACAUCUGUGGGGGGAGGGGAGAGCUUGUUUUUGCACCUCUGGAUACAUUAAAAGGAGGAGCACUGAUUUGACAAGGUCCCAUCUUUUGAAUGGACUAUGCUCCUCAGACCCUGGGGUCUCUAGGCUGGUUUUAUCCUUCCUUCCCUUACUGGAAGACACCAUCACUGCUGGCUUAUGUGCAUGGAGUGAUGGUAUUCCUCCGGUUCAUACGUACGCUGGCUUCACGGUGCUGCACCCUUCUCUCCCCUCAGGAGAGGAUGGCAUUAGAACGACGGAUACCAACUAAAUUAUCAGCACUGAAAGAUCGUCUCAUAGCAGCUUUGGACAAGUCUUUGUAUUUGUCCUCACAGAGCCUGGAGAUAGCCUGUAAAAAUAAAUUCAGAUACAAAAGAAUGAAAGAGUGAAUUAGAAGUGUUCAAACAUUUUAAAGAAAGCUCUUACAAUGGCAACACUAAUGGACCGAGCACUUACACUGCUUAUAUCUUUCAGUGACGCUACUGGCUGCUGCCCUGGGUAUGCAAUUACAAAAAAGGCCUUUUGUUGAGGGAAAACAUUAAGGGGCUGUAGAAACUGCAUCUUUAAGGAUCUCUCCCCAUGUUCACCCAUAUCAUUAUUAAUCACAGGAGAUUCUGAUUUUUAAAUGCAGUUAAAUCUCCACAUCUCUAAGCAACUUAAAUCUUAUACCAGCCUCUACAUCUUAAUGGAAAUCUUGGAUCCAACUUGAAGUAUGUGUGUUCAUGUGCAAAUUACACUCAAAACUCCAUGUAAAUAAAUGGGGUUUGGAGCCCAGGCUAUGGAUAUGAGGCUCAGGAGGGAUUCUAGAGAUCCCCAAGCCCUGAAGGAAGAGGUUACAGGUGGCUGCUGGUCCCCCCAGCUCAACACAACCAUCUAGGAUUCUUUGGGUGUAUAGUGGAGAAUUUGAAAGGGAAAUUUAUUAGGGCUGGUGUUUUUGCCCUUCCUGAGCCAGCCAAUUUUUUUUUUUUUUUUUUUUUUUACACUGACGUUUAAACCAGCACAAAGGUUUGUGAAUCCAAUAAGGAGAUCCCGGUGCUGAACUGUACAGUACCAUCCACCCUGCUUUAGCGCAGGUAAUGUCCUAUUAACACAGGUCUGAGAAUUUUAUUUAGUAUUUGAACUGCUUUAACUAAGCUGCAGAGUAGCUCCGUUUAUUGAAAGAUUAAAGCAGCAUGUACACGGGUGCAGUUAUUCCAGUAGUGAGAUUCCCAUUAAAUCUGUGUGUCAACUAAUUCGAUUAGAAAUGCUUCAGGACAGCGUUUCAAGCCCUGAUUGGGGCCUUUUGGGGCUAUCAUAAUGCAAAUAAAUAAAUAAAAUAAAUAAAUAAAUACAGAAGGGUGUCACUUUCUAUCUGUAUGCUAAGCCAUUACUAUUAGGCUUAGAAUGUCAGUUGAGUGUAUUAACUUCCAUUAAAAAUUUACCACCAUCACCAGAUGAGCUUUCACUCAUUCAGUAAAAAGACUGCACCUUCCCUCUAGGGUAGCACCCAUUCUGCACAGCCCAAUAUUCUCAAAGUUCAAAAGGUGAGCAGCGCUUCUCAGCAUGAAUAAAUUGCUAAGUGUAUUCUAAAAUAAUUAUUUAGAUUUCUUUCUGUCAACCUCCUUUUGGAGGCAUUUAUUUGGCUCACGAGUGGCACGUUUUGAGAUACUGGCUGCACAAGCCCCCGCUGCAAGACCAGACAAAACCUCUCUGGCAUUAAUGCUAGCAUAUCUAUCAUAAAGGAACCUGUGUGUCACAUUAAGACCCACUCCCCCCUAUGGAGCAGAUCAGUUUUCAAUCUGCUGGAAUACUAAUUCACUGCUUAAGACAAGCUCCCAAACUGACCUUUGUGUGUUUUUAAGCGAAAGGCAGGUUUGUUUUUAAAUUCAGAAACGUUUAGCAAAUACUUUGAAAAAAUAUUUACUGCAUAUCUUGUCAUUUAGAACGUUUACAAUUUACUUACACACACACACACACACACACACACACACGAGUAUGGUGUAGCAAAAUCAUAUGCUAUACUGAGAACCAUUCAGUGAAGUAAUACCGAACAACAGGUACCCGAAUAUUUGCAACAAAACUGGGGCUCACACCUGUCCAGAAGUCAUCCACUUCUGCCUAUGUACUGGCAGAUUAGAGAACAAUUUUCUGUCGAAUAUAGUAGUAGUAGUAUUGGAGUGCUCAAAUAUAAAAAAAACCUUAGUUUGUAGUACAGUGGUACCUGGAGCCCCCAUCCUGGACCUGGACCCCGCUGUGCUAGGCGUUGUACAAACAGACAUUCCCUGCCCAGAGCUGCACUCUAAUCACAGAAGCAGUUAGUGACAGUAUGAGCUUUAACGUUACCUAAAAGGUUAAAA